CCUAAGCCUAGCCCUAAGACUAAAUCUAACUCUAAUCCUAGACCUAUUUCUAUUUCUAACCCUAUCCAUUACCAUAACCUUAACAUUAGCCCUAACCCUAGCUAUAGCCCUAACCCUAGAUCUAACCAUAACUCUAAAUUUAACCCUAAUCUUAAGCCUACACCUAACUCUACCACUAGCUGAAUAAUAUCACUAAACCUACAACUAGUUCAAACUCUCACCCUAGCCCUAAAACAAAACCGAUCCAUUGCCCUAAACCUACACCUAAACCUAACCCUACAACUAGCCAUAACACUAGCUCUAAUUUGAGUACUAGCCUAAAACUAACCCUGACCAGACUCUUAUCCAAACACUAACCCUAGCUCUAAAUAUCUCCGUAAACAUAAAGCUAAUGUUAACACUAGACCUAGCCCAAUCCCUACCCCUAAAACUAACACUAAUCAUAACCCUAGUUUUUACAUUAGCCAUAGCCUAACUGUAGCCCUAACCCUAACACAAAAAUAGCCAUAAUCUGAACCCUAACACUAGAUUAAAUCUAACCCUAACCCUAACACUAGCCCUAACCCUAAAUCUAACCCUAGCCCUAACACUAGCUCUAACCCUAUCCCUUACCCUAAGCCAAAUCCUAUCCAUAAUGCUUACCCUAUUCCUAAUCCUUAUCCAUAGCCUAAACAACACCAUAACACUAGUACUAGUCCUAACCAUAGCCCUUAUUGUAGCUCUAACCCUAACUCAAAACCUAACUCUAUCUUUCACUCUUAUUCUUACGCUAACACUAAUUACAAAUUUAAACCUUACCCUUACCCUAAACUGAACCCUCAAAAAGCCCUACGAGUGAACUUUUACCUAAACCUAAGCCCAGCACUAGCUCUAGACCUAAACCUAAUCUUAAAUCUAGUGAUAACUCUAGCUCUAGAACUAAACAAAACUUAGUCCUAACCCUACAAAUAAUAUUUAACCUAAACCAGACACUAACACUACCCCUAAACCUAAACCUAGUCCUAAUUCUUGCUUUCAUCCUAAUCCUAACUCUAACCUGAACACUGACCUAACAUGAACAAUAAAUCUAGCUCUAAACUUAACCCUAAAAAGAAAUCUCAACCUAACACUAGAUUUAGCCAUAACCCUAACCAAAAUACUACCCUAAUGAGAAUCCUAGAUAUUACAUUACCUAUAGCACUAACCCAAGGCCUAAACCUAACACAAAACCUAGCCCUAAUUCGAAGCCUAAACCUAUCCUAAGAAUAACCUUAACCUUAAUCCUACUCUUAACCCUCACUCUAACCCAAAAUUUUGACCUAACUCUAGCUCAAAUCCUAACCCUUAGCCUAAACAUAACCCUAGCCCUGUCCCUAACCCUAACCCUAACCUUAACCUUAACUGUACCCCUGACCCUAGCCAUAACCCUAACUCUAAUCCUAACCCUAAUGAUAACCCUAGCCCUUACCCUAACCAAAACCCAAAUCCAAAUGAUAAAUCUAACCCUAGACCUAACCCUUAACCUAACCCUUGCAGUAGCAC
rnacentral:lncRNA from 1 species